rnacentral:rRNA from 1 species
AGAGAAUAGAUACCCGGGUAGUCCACGCCGUAAACGAUGAGUGCUAAGUGUUAGAGGGUUUCCGCCCUUUAGUGCUGCAGCUAAACGCAUUAAGCACUCCGCCUGGGGAGUACGGUCGCAAGACUGAAACUCAAAGGAAUUGACGGGGGCCCGCACAAGCGGUGGAGCAUGUGGUUUAAUUCGAAGCAACGCGAAGAACCUUACCAGGUCUUGACAUCCUCUGACAACUCUAGAGAUAGAGCGUUCCCCUUCGGGGGACAGAGUGACAGGUGGUGCAUGGUUGUCGUCAGCUCGUGUCGUGAGAUGUUGGGUUAAGUCCCGCAACGAGCGCAACCCUUGAUCUUAGUUGCCAGCAUUUAGUUGGGCACUCUAAGGUGACUGCCGGUGACAAACCGGAGGAAGGUGGGGAUGACGUCAAAUCAUCAUGCCCCUUAUGACCUGGGCUACACACGUGCUACAAUGGAUGGUACAAAGGGCUGCAAGACCGCGAGGUCAAGCCAAUCCCAUAAAACCCAUUCUCAGUUCGGAUUGUA